rnacentral:rRNA from 1 species
UUGAUCCUGGCUCAGGAUGAACGCUAGCGGCAGGCUUAACACAUGCAAGUCGAGGGGUAUAAGUCUUCGGAUUUAGAGACCGGCGCACGGGUGCGUAACGCGUAUGCAAUCUACCUUUUACAGAGGGAUAGCCCAGAGAAAUUUGGAUUAAUACCUCAUAGCAUAGCAGCUUCGCAUGAAGCCACUAUUAAAGUCACAACGGUAAAAGAUGAGCAUGCGUCCCAUUAGCUAGUUGGUAAGGUAACGGCUUACCAAGGCUACGAUGGGUAGGGGUCCUGAGAGGGAGAUCCCCCACACUGGUACUGAGACACGGACCAGACUCCUACGGGAGGCAGCAGUGAGGAAUAUUGGACAAUGGGCGCAAGCCUGAUCCAGCCAUGCCGCGUGCAGGAUGACGGUCCUAUGGAUUGUAAACUGCUUUUAUACGAGAAGAAACACUCCUUCGUGAAGGAGCUUGACGGUAUCGUAAGAAUAAGGAUCGGCUAACUCCG